rnacentral:rRNA from 1 species
ACUCCUACGGGAGGCAGCAGUGGGGAAUUUUGCGCAAUGGGGGAAACCCUGACGCAGCGACGCCGCGUGGAGGAUGAAGGUCUUCGGAUUGUAAACUCCUUUUGUCGGGGAAGAUAAUGACGGUACCCGGCGAAUAAGCCACGGCUAACUCUGUGCCAGCAGCCGCGGUAAGACAGAGGUGGCAAGCGUUGUUCGGAAUUACUGGGCUUAAAGGGCGCGUAGGCGGUGGAGUAAGUCUGAGGUGGAAGAUUAGGGCUUAACCCUAAAAUUGCCUUGGAAACUGCAUCACUUGAGUCAGCGAGGGGAUGGCGGAAUUCCAGGUGUAGCGGUGAAAUGCGUAGAUAUCUGGAGGAAGGCCGGUGGCGAAGGCGGCCAUCUGGCGCUGAACUGACGCUGAGGCGCGAAAGCGUGGGGAGCAAACAGGAUUAGAUACCCUGGUAGUCCACGCCCUAAACGGUGGGUACUAGGUGUAGGGCUCGUAAGGGUUCUGUGCCGUAGGGAAACCAUUAAGUACCCCGCCUGGGGAGUA